GGCAAGUCUGGUGCCAGCAGCCGCGGUAAUUCCAGCUCCAAAAGCGUAUAUUAAUGUUGUUGCAGUUAAAAGCUCGUAGUCGAUUAUCUUAGCGCGAGUUGCUUUGGCUCAAACCGGGCUUCGAGCGCUAAUCGGUCCGAAAACCUACUCGUCCUUAAUCAGUCGAGUCGGUCCCUCGGACACUUUACUGAGAAAAAUAGAGUGUUUAAAGCAGGCGAAUGCUUGAAUACCGUAGCAUGGAAUAAUAGAAUAGGACAUUGGUUCAUAUUUUGUUGGUUUUCAGGGCCAGGGUCAUGAUGAAUAGGGACAGUUGGGGCAUUAGUAUUCAGUAGUCAGAGGUGAAAUUCUUGGAUUUACUGAGACUGACUAAUGCGAAAGCAUUUGCCAAGGAUGUUUUCAUUAAUCAAGAACGAAAGUUAGGGGGAUCGAAG
rnacentral:rRNA from 1 species